rnacentral:rRNA from 1 species
UACGUAGGGGGCUAGCGUUGUCCGGAAUCAUUGGGCGUAAAGAGCGUGUAGGCGGCCCGGUAAGUCCGCUGUGAAAGUCCAGGGCUCAACCCUGGGAUGCCGGUGGAUACUGUCGGGCUCGAGUCCGGAAGAGGCGAGUGGAAUUCCUGGUGUAGCGGUGAAAUGCGCAGAUAUCAGGAGGAACACCAAUGGCGAAGGCGGCCUGCUGGGCUAUGGCUGACACUGAGGCGCGACAGCGUGGGGAGCAAACAGG